rnacentral:rRNA from 1 species
AACGAACGCUGGCGGCGCGCCUAAUACAUGCAAGUCGAGCGAGAAGACGUAGCAAUACGUUUGUAAAGCGGCGAACGGGUGAGGAAUACAUGGGUAACCUACCCUCGAGUGGGGAAUAACUAGCCGAAAGGUUAGCUAAUACCGCGUACGCUCCUUGGACUUCGGUUCAGGGAGGAAAGCGAUACCGUGGGUAUCGCGCUCUUGGAUGGGCUCAUGUCCUAUCAGCUUGUUGGGAGGUACGGCUCACCAAGCUUCGACGGUAGCUGGUCUGAGAGGACGAUCAGCCACACUGGCACUGCGACGACGGGCCAGA